AUGCACCGUCGUCUCCAUCAGCGUUCACAAGCGCUGAUGAAUGCCAGCGGGUCCCAUUUUUCUGCACGGAGGCAUCCAACUCCACACCUUCGCUCCACUUCGGCGUCAGACGCCGUUUUGUCAGACCUCCCCUCUGCCGCCAUCAGCCACGCGGCGACGAAACGGAACGGGAUGCUGGUGGAAGGUCCGAGCCGCACCGCCAUCCCAGCACCAUCCGGCUCUGAGGGUGCGGGCCGGCGUCACAAAACAGGAGGCGUUACUUUUGGAGCAGCCCCGACAGACGGCAGCACGGCGGCGGGGGGCUGGAGCUGCGCCGUCCCGCUGCUCCUCCGCCGCCUCGGCCCCGCGCUCUGCCCCCUGCCCAGCUCCCUGCGGUGCAGCCGGCCGCAGGUUCAGCACAAGGGCGCGGGAAGGACGUUUCCUUCCGGAGCACCAUUCUGGAAACUAACGGACGCGGAGGGUUUUCCGCCCGCCGAGGCAGCGGUUCUCGAGCCGCGGGUCGCGGCGCGCCCGGGGCCGGGCGGAGCUGCUAAGUGGGUCACGCCGCGCUGCGGGCCGCUGACGCGCGGCGCCGGGCCGGCCCUGCUCCCAACACGGCCCCGCUCCCAGCACGGCCCCGCUCCCAGCACGGCCCCGCUCCCAGCACGGCCCCGCUCCCAGCACGGCCCCGCUCCCAGCACGGCCCCGCGGCAGCGCUCGCACGGCGGCACCGGCGGCCCCGCAUUAAGAGCCACGCGGCCGCCUCCGCUGCGGCGCUUUAUCCCCAGCGCCCGCUGUGAACAAAAUUGCCUCGGAUCAGGUGGUGCGAGCCAAUUUUUCUCGCAGCAGGGGCUGCAGGUAAAGCACCUCGGUGCAGGAGAGCUGCGCGGCUCUGAACUUCUCUGCUGCCCGCCUGAACCCGGGGAAGGAGGAGAAGGGAUACUGUGUGCACUCGAGCAGAAUCGGAGAAGAUGCCAAGAGAGGAGAGAAGCAGAUGGAAAAGGCAGAGAAAGCUCAAGAUGA
rnacentral:lncRNA from 1 species